rnacentral:rRNA from 1 species
AACGAACGCUGGCGACAGGCCUAACACAUGCAAGUCGAACGCCCUAGCAAUAGGGAGUGGCAGACGGGUGAGUAACGCGUGGGAACCUUCCCUGUGGUGCGGAAUAACUCGCCGAAAGGCGUGCUAAUACCGCAUAAGCCCGCAAGGGGAAAGAUUUAUCGCCAUAGGAUGGGCCCGCGUAGGAUUAGCUAGUUGGUGAGGUAAUGGCUCACCAAGGCGACGAUCCUUAGCUGGUUUGAGAGAAUGACCAGCCACACUGGGACUGAGACACGGCCCAGACUCCUACGGGAGGCAGCAGUGGGGAAUCUUGGACAAUGGGCGCAAGCCUGAUCCAGCCAUGCCGCGUGAGUGACGAAGGCCUUCGGUUGU